rnacentral:rRNA from 1 species
UGGGGAAUUUUGGACAAUGGGGGAAACCCUGAUCCAGCCAUCCCGCGUGUGCGAUGAAGGCCUUCGGGUUGUAAAGCACUUUUGGCAGGAAAGAAACGUCGCGGGUUAAUACCCCGCGAAACUGACGGUACCUGCAGAAUAAGCACCGGCUAACUACGUGCCAGCAGCCGCGGUAAUACGUAGGGUGCAAGCGUUAAUCGGAAUUACUGGGCGUAAAGCGUGCGCAGGCGGUUCGGAAAGAAAGAUGUGAAAUCCCAGAGCUUAACUUUGGAACUGCAUUUUUAACUACCGGGCUAGAGUGUGUCAGAGGGAGGUGGAAUUCCGCGUGUAGCAGUGAAAUGCGUAGAUAUGCGGAGGAACACCGAUGGCGAAGGCAGCCUCCUGGGAUAACACUGACGCUCAUGCACGAAAGCGUGGGGAGCAAACAGGAUUAGAUACCCUGGUAGUCCACGCCCUAAACGAUGUCAACUAGCUGUUGGGGCCUUCGGGCCUUGGUAGCGCAGCUAACGCGUGAAGUUGACCGCCUGGGGAGUACGGUCGCAAGAUUAAAACUCAAAGGAAUUGAAC